rnacentral:rRNA from 1 species
AACAAACGCUGGCGGCGUGCCUAACACAUGCAAGUCGAACGAGGAAUUUCCUGCUUGCAGGAGAAAGUAAAGUGGCGCACGGGUGAGUAACGCGUGGGUAACCUACCUUUGAAUCUGGAAUAACCAGCCGAAAGGCUGACUAAUACCGGAUACGGUUUUUUAGGCUUCGGUCUUUUAAAUUAAAGGUGACCUCUUCAUGAAAGUUGCCGUUCAUAGAUGGGCCCGCGUACCAUUAGCUUGUUGGUGGGGUAAUGGCCUACCAAGGCGACGAUGGUUAGCUGGUCUGAGAGGAUGAUCAGCCACACUGGAACUGGAACACGGUCCAGACUCCUACGGGAGGCAGCAGUGAGGAAUUUUGCGCAAUGGGGGAAACCCUGACGCAGCAACGCCGCGUGAGCGAAGAAGGCCUUCGGGUCGUAAAGCUCUGUCUAGUGGGAAAAAAAUCUUUUGAUCAAUAGUCAAAAGACUUGAUGGUACCACUGGAGGAAGCACCGGCUAACUCCGU